rnacentral:misc_RNA from 1 species
AGCAGCCGCGGUAAUUCCAGCUCCAAUAGCGUAUAUUAAAGUUGUUGCAGUUAAAAAGCUCGUAGUUGAAUUUCGGGAUCAAUAUAUCGGUCGUGCCUUCGGUACGUACUGGUAUCAUUGGUUUCUCCUUUCUGACAAACCAUGAUGUCAUUAAUUUGGUGUUAUGGGGAGUUAGGACUGUUAUUUUUGAAAAAAAUUAGAGUGUUUAAAGCAGGCUUUAGCUUGAAUACAUUAGCAUGGAAUAAUGAAAUAGGACGUUCGAACCUAUUUUGUUGGUUUCUAGGAUCAACGUAAUGAUUAAUAGGGAUAGUUGGGGGGCAUUAGUAUUCAAUUGUCAGAGGUGAAAUUCUUGGAUUUAUUGAAGACUAACUACUGCGAAAGCAUUUGCCAAGGAUGUUUUCAUUAAUCAAGAACGAAAGUUAGGGGAUCGAAGACGAUCAGAUACCGUCGUAGUCUUAACCAUAAACUAUGCCGACUAGGGAUCGGAUGAUGUUAAUUUUUUAAUGACUCAUUCGGCGCC